rnacentral:lncRNA from 10 species
CCAAUAGGAAGAGCUCCAUUCUACAGCUCCCAGCCUGAGCAACAGAGAAGACAGAGCAUAAACUCCGUUAAGAUCAUUCUGAAUGUUUCGUAAAUUGUCUAUGGGAGGAGAGAGGAAGUAAGGACAUUAGGAGGCCAUGAUAGUUCAAGGAAGAGAAAAUGGCAGCUUGCAAUAAGGUGUCCAUGGGAGAGGAACAUGGAUGAAUUGAGACCUGUUUGGGUGGUAUGAACCAAAAGGACUUGCUGGUGAUGUGAUCUUGGAGGCAGCGGUGAAGGAAAGAGAAUAAUCUAUAAUAACACCAAAGUCUGGGACUUGAGGAGGUAGAGAAUGGUGGGGUUAUUUUAAGAGAUGUGAGCUAACAUAAGAUCAUUUCUAUCAUUAUUAACACCAUUGAUUCUUCUUGUUCUAGCCUAGUGCUCCUCAAAAUCGAAAUGUAAAUAGGAAUUACCUGGGAAUCUUGUUAAAAUGCAGAUUCUGAUUUAGUAUCUGGACACUCUGUCAUGUUCAAUUGAUCUAUAGAUCUAUAGCAGUGUAUUCUUCCUCUAAUACACUGCUUUAUUACGGUAGGUUCAUAUAUAAUCUUAAAACCAGGAAGUAUGAUUCCUUCAACUUUACUCUUCCUUUUCAAAAUUGUGUCCUAACUUUGCUAAACUCACUUAUGAGUUCUAGAGAAGAAUUUUCUCAAAUUAUUGAAAGAAAACAAACCACAGAUCCAAGAAUCCCAAAGAAAUCCAUGGAUGUUACAUACAAAGGGAAAUCCAUGGAUGAUACAUACAAAGGAAAAUAAAACUAAGCACAUCUUACUUGAAGUGCUGUAAACCAAAAAUAAAGAGAGCACCUUAAAGGCAGCCAGAAUAGGACUCACUCCAUACAGUGAAACAAAAUGAGAAUGACAGUAGACUUCUUGUCAAUAACUAUGCAAACUAAAAGAGAGUGGAGCAUUAUCUUUAAAAUACAGUCAUGUGCUGAAUAAUGACAUUUUGUUCAAUGACAGGUCACAUAUAUGAUAGCGAUACCAUAAGAUUGUAAUGGAGCUGAAAAAUUUCCAUUGCCUGCUGACAUCUUGAUAAUCGUGAACCUGCAUAGGCUUAAAAUAAUGUGUUUUUGUCUUAGUUUUUAACAAAAAUGUUUAAAAAGUAAAAAUAAAUAAAUAAAUAAAAUUGUAAAAAAUAGAAAAAAGCUUACAGAAUAAAGAUAUAAGAAAGAAAAUGCUUUUGGACAUCUG